GUAGAACUCGAUAUGGAAGACGAAGCCAUCGCAGCUUGUUGAUCUAAUAACCUUCUCCUCUUUAGCAAACACAAGUGCUUUCCAAACAAUAGGUAUUUGGUACAAAAGAAGCAGACAUUGCAAGAGCAGUGAUUAUGAUCAUAUAUAUAUAUGGUCGUUCUAAUCAUUCCCCUAUUAGAAUUCUUAUAGAACUCGAACAAGUAAUCCAUAUUACAAGUGACUCUUAAAAGAUAAAGUACAGAGAUAAGUCCCUCAACAACAAGGACUUGUACUUAUAAUCCUACAAGAAAAAGGAUUUCACUAAGCUUAUCAACAGGACUAUUCCAUUCAAAAGAUUUAUACGACUCGGCUCUUUCAAUUCAUACUCAUACUCUUACAUUCUCCCACUUGAGUAUGACAUAUGAUUAACAGCCUUAUAAAUCAUGGAAGUGAUCACUAAGUCCAUACCAACAGAAAACUUAUCUUCACAUUCGACGUUACUCAAGCACUUCAAAGCAUGGAACUCAUAAGUCUCCUUUGUCCAUCACAAAAUUAACUUAAGAAUCACAGCAUGCCUAAAUUGCUCUCUGUGUUCAUGUGAACGUAUAUAUUCAGUAAUGUCAAAAUAAUUACUCCCACUUUUCCAAUAUAACCUCAACACAAAAAUUGUCAAGACAUCAGUUAAUGAUCAAAACUUAUUAACCGCAACCAUCUUAUAUCAGAACAGCAUAUUCAAUAGUUCAAAAAAGGUAUUCUGCAACAAAAUCACAAAGUGACUUUCUAGCAAACCAAACUAUCAAAUAAAAUAUGUUCUCUGGUACAAUUGAUCACAAAGUUUGAAAAUUGAACCCUUAAUGAGAACCAAAACAAACACUAACAACUAGAUAAGCAUAACUAAGCCAACUAGACUACCUUAGUUCUGGGAAUCUUCAAGCUCAUCGUUGCCAUGUUCUAACUGAACAAAAGCAACUAUCUUCAAGCCUUUAAACAGUGCACUCCCACUUAUCUAGGCCAUACUUAACACAACCAAGUUAAGUACAAGUUAAUAGCAACUAUAUUAACUAAAAAUCAUUCCAAUACAAUGAAUGACUAAUCAGAAUCCAUAUGGAAACCAAAUUCGUUUCCUUUUGAAUGCUAACAUAAUAGGAUUCUUCUCAUUACUUAAACAAAUUAAGUAACACAAAUAAUUUAACCAAUUGCUUCAAUAAAACCAUAAACUGGUUUUUAAGCAUCUUGAUGAAUUAUAAUGGCCGGCUUAAAUACUCUUAGCCUUAUGCUUACAUUCGAAUAUAUGAUUCUCCCACUUAAGCAUAAGCAGAAUGUACUACACAGCCGAUAAAGAAACCGGAGAUAUGAACCAAUUGGUUCCCGAUUCCUCACCAAUUGCAUAAUCUCAGUUUAGUCAUAUACACCUAAACCAUUAUGCAAACAGUCUAUGUAUCAAAAGAUAGUCACAAUCCAUUUGGAAAAACUUAUCUCACAUAAACCCAAAAUCACUAGUUUCAACAAUGAUCAAAAUCAGAAUAGUAAGCAC
rnacentral:lncRNA from 1 species